rnacentral:rRNA from 1 species
UUUCACAAUGGGCGCAAGCUGAUGGAGCGACGCCGCGUGGGGGAUGAAUGGCUUCGGCCCGUAAACCCCUGUCAUUUGCGAUCAAACCUUGUUAUUUAAAAGAUGACGAGCUGAUAGUAGCGAAAGAGGAAGGGACGGCUAACUCUGUGCCAGCAGCCGCGGUAAUACAGAGGUCCCAAGCGUUGUUCGGAUUCACUGGGCGUAAAGGGUGCGUAGGUGGUGGGGUAAGUCGGAUGUGAAAUCUCCGAGCUCAACUCGGAAAUGGCAUUGGAAACUACCCUGCUAGAGGGUCGGAGGGGGGACUGGAAUGCUUGGUGUAGCAGUGAAAUGCGUAGAUAUCAAGCGGAACACCAGUGGCGAAGGCGAGUCCCUGGACGACUCCUGACACUGAGGCACGAAAGCUAGGGGAGCAAACAGGAUUAGAUACCCUGGUAGUCCUAGCCGUAAACGGUGCACGUUUGCUGUAAAAGGAAUCGACCCCUUUUGUGCGUAGCCAACGCGUUAAACGUGCCGCCUGGGAAGUACGGUCGCAAGAUCAAAACUCAAAGAAAUUGACGGGGGCCUGCACAAGCGGUGGAGUAUGUGGCUCAAUUCGAUGCAACGCGAAGAACCUUACCUGGCCUUGACAUGUACGUAGUAGAAGGGUGAAAGCCUGACGAGGUAGCAAUACCAGCGUACACAGGUGCUGCAUGGCUGUCGUCAGCUCGUGUCGUGAGAUGUUGGGUUAAGUCCCGCAACGAGCGCAACCCUUGUGUCCUGUUGCCACCCCGGCGAGAGUCGGGAGCACUCUGGACAGACUGCCUCGCUUAAACGAGGAGGAAGGUGGGGAUGACGUCAAGUCAGUAUGGCCCUUACGGCCAGGGCUGCACACGUACUACAAUGCCCGGCACAGAGGGAAGCGAGACCGUCAGGUGGAGCAAAUCCCCAAAAACCGGGCCCAGUUCAGAUUGUCGUCUGCAACUCGACGGCAUGAAGUUGGAAUCGCU